UACGAAGGGUGCAAGCGUUAACCGGAAUUACUGGGCGUAAAGGGUGCGUAGGCGGUUCGUUAAGUCUGUCGUGAAAUCCCCGGGCUCAACCUGGGAAUGGCGGUGGAUACUGGCGAGCUAGAGUGUGUCAGAGGAUGGUGGAAUUCCCGGUGUAGCGGUGAAAUGCGUAGAGAUCGGGAGGAACAUCAGUGGCGAAGGCGGCCAUCUGGGACAACACUGACGCUGAAGCACGAAAGCGUGGGGAGCAAACAGG
rnacentral:rRNA from 1 species